AUGAGUGGCUCCCCGAAGGCAGUCCGGGCUGCUCUGACCCAGAGGAGGAGGCGUGGUGGCCAGCAGGGGCCACAGGCUUCUCCGUGCCAGGCCGCACCUCCGGCAGCUGGGAAGCAUGUGGGGAUCUGGUGCUGCCUUACUCUGCACACGGCGGAAAUGUCCCCACAGCACUCCCUUGCCACGGGGCCUGCAUGGGACCGUCUUCAGCCAGGAAGCAGCCCCACACCGCCAGCUUUGGGGCAUGGCUGGCCCCACUACUGGGCCUUCUGCUCCCCCGUCCUCCUCAGCCACCUCGGUCCUGUCACCAUGAUGCCCCACCUUCUGGCUCUAGUGGGAUGGCGUGGAACCAGCAUGGGCCUCAGACUCGCACAGAUCUGGGUUCGGAGCCCUGCUCUGCCGCUUACUGAGAUCAAUGAUGUUGGGGGAAUGAUAAGAACAGAAAAGUGGUCUGGAAUAUUACCCUCGGGUGCAGCGCCCUUUCCAGCACCUCUGACUGCUCCCCCUGCCCGGAACACAGCCCUCGGUGACUGCGCCCGCCCUAUGCUACCUGCUCGACGCCCGGGCCAUUUCUCCUCCUCCCCUGAAGACAGCCCCAGUGCCCUGUCCUCUGGGAAUCCUGUCCCCACAACGCUCACCCUGCAUCUCCCUGCAGCCUGGUCCCCCUGGAGCCCCACCCUGGGAUCAUGCGCCCCCUCCCUCCCUCAGCUCUCCUACCAGAAGGUUCUCCCACCUUCUUGCAUUGCACCAUGGAGGUGCGACUUCCCAGGGCAUCCAGCCUCGGCCAGGCUGUCCCGAUUCCCGAUGUUGCAAAGGCGGUGGGAGACACCCCACAAUCCAACGGUGCGUCCGCAGUUCACUUUUCCGAUGUGCUUUUAUAAGUCUUCAGAAGUUCACGCUUCCCGGGCACCUGCCUACCCUCCAGCAUCUUCAUUGACCUCCCAGCCAGCGGCGCUCCUGGAACUCGAACUGCCUGCCAGAGCCCACGUGCCGCCCCAGGCCUACGCCCCAGGCUCACUCUGUGUCUCAGAGCAGAGGCCCAGGCUGGGAGGCCACAGGUCACUGAUCCACCACACGGCCAGGGAAGGAAGGAGGGGAGCCCCCUCGGGCCUGGAGUGA
rnacentral:lncRNA from 1 species